rnacentral:rRNA from 1 species
UACGUAGGGUGCGAGCGUUAAUCGGAAUUACUGGGCGUAAAGCGUGCGCAGGCGGCUUUGCAAGACAGAUGUGAAAUCCCCGGGCUCAACCUGGGAACUGCAUUUGUGACUGCAAGGCUAGAGUACGGCAGAGGGGGAUGGAAUUCCGCGUGUAGCAGUGAAAUGCGUAGAUAUGCGGAGGAACACCAAUGGCGAAUGCAAUCCCCUGGGCCUGUACUGACGCUCAUGCACGAAAGCGUGGGGAGCAAACAGG